rnacentral:rRNA from 1 species
GGUUAAGCGACUAAGCGUACACGGUGGAUGCCCUGGCAGUCAGAGGCGAUGAAGGGCGUGCUAAUCUGCGAUAAGCGCCGGUAAGGUGAUAUGAACCGUUAUAACCGGCGAUACCCGAAUGGGGAAACCCAGUGUGAYUCGUCACACUAUCAUUAACUGAAUCCAUAGGUUAAUGAGGCGAACCGGGGGAACUGAAACAUCUAAGUACCCCGAGGAAAAGAAAUCAACCGAGAUUCCCCCAGUAGCGGCGAGCGAACGGGGAGGAGCCCAGAGCCUGAAUCAGCAUGUGUGUUAGUGGAAGCGUCUGGAAAGGCGCGCGAUACAGGGUGACAGCCCCGUACACAAAAGCGCAUGUGCUGUGAGCUCGAUGAGUAGGGCGGGACACGUGGUAUCCUGUCUGAAUAUGGGGGGACCAUCCUCCAAGGCUAAAUACUCCUGACUGACCGAUAGUGAACCAGUACCGUGAGGGAAAGGCGAAAAGAACCCCGGCGAGGGGAGUGAAAAAGAACCUGAAACCGUGUACGUACAAGCAGUGGGAGCUGCGUACCUUUUGUAUAAUGGGUCAGCGACUUAUAUUCUGUAGCAAGGUUAACCGWAUAGGGGAGCCGYAGGGAAACCGAGUCUUAAYYGGGCGUUAAGUUGCAGGGUAUAGACCCGAAACCCGGUGAUCUAGCCAUGGGCAGGUUGAAGGUUGGGUAACACUAACUGGAGGACCGAACCGACUAAUGUUGAAAAAUUAGCGGAUGACCUGUGGCUGGGGGUGAAAGGCCAAUCAAACGGUUCUCCCCGAAAGCUAUUUAGGUAGCGCCUCGUGAAYUCAUCUCCGGGGGUAGAGCACUGUUUCGGCUAGGGGGYCAUCCCGRCUUACCAACCCGAUGCAAACUGCGAAUACCGGAGAAUGUUAUCACGGGAGACACACGGCGGGUGCUAACGUCCGUCGUGAAGAGGGAAACAACCCAGACCGCCAGCUAAGGUCCCAAAGUCAUGGUUAAGUGGGAAACGAUGUGGGAAGGCCCAGACAGCCAGGAUGUUGGCUUAGAAGCAGCCAUCAUUUAAAGAAAGCGUAAUAGCUCACUGGUCGAGUCGGCCUGCGCGGAAGAUGUAACGGGGCUAAACCAUGCACCGAAGCUGCGGCAGCGAACGUAUCACUUAAAGCGAUUCAGCGGGUUACGAUUGACGGAGCGAAGCGACGUCAAAGCGUAUACAAAGUCGAGUCGGUUUAAGGGUACGUUCGUUGGGUAGGGGAGCGUUCUGUAAGCCUGUGAAGGUGGCCUGUGAGGGUUGCUGGAGGUAUCAGAAGUGCGAAUGCUGACAUAAGUAACGAUAAAGCGGGUGAAAAGCCCGCUCGCCGGAAGACCAAGGGUUCCUGUCCAACGUUAAUCGGGGCAGGGUGAGUCGACCCCUAAGGCGAGGCCGAAAGGCGUAGUCGAUGGGAAACGGGUUAAUAUUCCCGUACUUGGUGUUACUGCGAAGGGGGGACGGAGAAGGCUAUGUUGGCCGGGCGACGGUUGUCCCGGUUUAAGCGUGUAGGUGUGUGUUCCAGGUAAAUCCGGUUCACUUUAACACUGAGGCGUGAYGACGAGGCACUACGGUGCUGAAGCAACAAAUGCCCUGCUUCCAGGAAAAGCCUCUAAGCAUCAGGUAACAUCAAAUCGUACCCCAAACCGACACAGGUGGUCAGGUAGAGAAUACCAAGGCGCUUGAGAGAACUCGGGUGAAGGAACUAGGCAAAAUGGUGCCGUAACUUCGGGAGAAGGCACGCUGACACGUAGGUGAAGUGAUUUACUCAUGGAGCUGAAGUCAGUCGAAGAUACCAGCUGGCUGCAACUGUUUAUUAAAAACACAGCACUGUGCAAACACGAAAGUGGACGUAUACGGUGUGACGCCUGCCCGGUGCCGGAAGGUUAAUUGAUGGGGUCAGCGCAAGCGAAGCUCCUGAUCGAAGCCCCGGUAAACGGCGGCCGUAACUAUAACGGUCCUAAGGUAGCGAAAUUCCUUGUCGGGUAAGUUCCGACCUGCACGAAUGGCGUAAUGAUGGCCAGGCUGUCUCCACCCGAGACUCAGUGAAAUUGAACUCGCUGUGAAGAUGCAGUGUACCCGCGGCAAGACGGAAAGACCCCGUGAACCUUUACUAUAGCUUGACACUGAACAUUGAGCCUUGAUGUGUAGGAUAGGUGGGAGGCUUUGAAGUGUGGACGCCAGUCUGCAUGGAGCCRACCUUGAAAUACCACCCUUUAAUGUUUGAUGUUCUAACGUGGACCCGUWAYCCGGGUUGCGGACAGUGUCUGGUGGGUAGUUUGACUGGGGCGGUCUCCUCCUAAAGAGUAACGGAGGAGCACGAAGGUUGGCUAAUCCUGGUCGGACAUCAGGAGGUUAGUGCAAUGGCAUAAGCCAGCUUGACUGCGAGCGUGACGGCGCGAGCAGGUGCGAAAGCAGGUCAUAGUGAUCCGGUGGUUCUGAAUGGAAGGGCCAUCGCUCAACGGAUAAAAGGUACUCCGGGGAUAACAGGCUGAUACCGCCCAAGAGUUCAUAUCGACGGCGGUGUUUGGCACCUCGAUGUCGGCUCAUCACAUCCUGGGGCUGAAGUAGGUCCCAAGGGUAUGGCUGUUCGCCAUUUAAAGUGGUACGCGAGCUGGGUUUAGAACGUCGUGAGACAGUUCGGUCCCUAUCUGCCGUGGGCGCUGGAGAACUGAGGGGGGCUGCUCCUAGUACGAGAGGACCGGAGUGGACGCAUCACUGGUGUUCGGGUUGUCAUGCCAAUGGCACUGCCCGGUAGCUAAAUGCGGAAGAGAUAAGUGCUGAAAGCAUCUAAGCACGAAACUUGCCCCGAGAUGAGUUCUCCCUGAGACUUARAGUCUCCUGAAGGAACGUUGAAGACGACGACGUUGAUAGGCCGGGUGUGUAAGCGCAGCGAUGCGUUGAGCUAACCGGUACUAAUGAACCGUGAGGCUUAACCUU